AUGGAAUUGCCUUUUGAAAGAAGGAACAUGCUGCUUUAAAGAAAAGCACAGCCUUUUAAACCAUCCUUUGCACUGCUCCUAUAAUAUCAUAAAAUGCUGCCUAGUUAGACAGCUCGCUAGGUUUCAGAACAGUACUUCGAGUCACUAAAUAGCUUGAUCUGUUUUCCCACAGUGCUUCAGUGUGUGUGUUUAUGCACAGGUCAGGAGAUGUCUGCUCCUGUGCUCUGCUGUGCGUUCUCAUUGGACUGGGUCUGUCGAUAAAACAGUGACCGUCUAUGAAGCGAUAUGUGUCUGCAUGCCGUUGUUUGCCUCUGGCUCUAUGGAUAAGACGGUGAAUAUCUGGAGAAUUGGAGAUGAAAGUGCUGAAGCAUGUAAGUCCAUCUGCUUGUGUUGAAUACUGACACUGUUUGAC